UUCGGGUGAGGCAAGCGUUGUUCGGAAUCACUGGGCUUAAAGCGCGUGUAGGCGGCUCGGUAAGUACCUUGUGAAAUCCCUUCUCUCAAUGAAGGAACCGCUUGGUAUACUGCCGGGCUGGAGGCAGGUAGGGGUCACUGGAACUCUAGGUGGAGCGGUGAAAUGCGUAGAUAUCUAGAGGAACGCCCGUGGCGAAAGCGGGUGACUGGGCCUGUCCUGACGCUGAGACGCGAAAGCGUGGGUAGCAAACGGG
rnacentral:rRNA from 2 species